rnacentral:rRNA from 1 species
GACGAACGCUGGCGGCGUGCCUAAUACAUGCAAGUAGAACGCUGAAGGAGGAGCUUGCUUCUCUGGAUGAGUUGCGAACGGGUGAGUAACGCGUAGGUAACCUGCCUGGUAGCGGGGGAUAACUAUUGGAAACGAUAGCUAAUACCGCAUAACAGUAGAUAUCGCAUGAUAUCUACUUGAAAGGUGCAAUUGCAUCACUACCAGAUGGACCUGCGUUGUAUUAGCUAGUUGGUGAGGUAACGGCUCACCAAGGCGACGAUACAUAGCCGACCUGAGAGGGUGAUCGGCCACACUGGGACUGAGACACGGCCCAGACUCCUACGGGAGGCAGCAGUAGGGAAUCUUCGGCAAUGGACGGAAGUCUGACCGAGCAACGCCGCGUGAGUGAAGAAGGUUUUCGGAUCGUAAAGCUCUGUUGUAAGAAAAGAACGAGUGUGAGAGUGGAAAGUUCACACUGUGACGGUAUCUUACCAGAAAGGGACGGCUAACUACGUG